AUGUUUGCCCUAUAUGUUAUGGUUGAGCCUUCGGGCUCUGGUAAUGGAAGAAGGGGUCGUAAGACUCCUCGAGAGUCAGACACUCUCGAGGAGCGUGAAAGAAAACGUCUCCGGGAUUUGUUUGCAGAGCCGACAGAUGAGGACUCAUUUGAGGGUUUUUCUCAGGGUUUGGAGGAAGAGAUGGUCAGCUCGGAGGAGAAUGACAUGGAAUGGACUUGUGUGAGGGAGGAUUUGGGUGUUGGGGAAACAGGCAAUGAAAGCGUGGGAGGUGAUUGGCGGGUUGCAGGAUCAGACCCAUGGACUGGUUGGAGGGAUGGAGCGGGAUCCACAGCUGGGGAUGCUGUGGGGCGUAGUCGAAGGUGCUUAAGCUCUGAUGAGGAUGAUGAUGUUGGGGCGUCUGGAAUUGGGAUGGCAGCUGACAGCGAUGAUCGACGGCGGGAGGAACUGUGUGGGGUUUUUCUCUGUGCAACUUGUGUUUAAUCUUGAUAGCUUGAACCUCCGUCGUCUUUUUGACGGGCAAUACCUACUUACACUGGAUUGACGCUGGACUGACUGACUACGAUUCCGGAUUAACCCUGCUGCUGGCUAUCGGUGAGACCUUUGGAUUCCUUGACGACUACGCUUGGCUAUUGAUCUUCUGGACCGGAUUGGGACCCUGCUGACUGCCGUUACCCUAGACCUGAAUCCUGACUACGACCACGCUUUCGUUUGCUGCAGGGAGGAAUAAACAAGCCUGUUUUACUCCCCUGCUGUUUCUGAGUAGCAGAGAGGAAUCUGCUACCAGUCUUUUGUUUACAUUCUGACUCCUGUUGAUCCUCUUUUGUUUGCAUUGUUUGCCAAGCUGAAGUAAGCACUUUGAUUUAAUCCGGAUUACACUGCUGUUUAACCCGGUUUAUCCCUUUGAACCAUUUAAGCUCAAACUGAGCUGUUUUUUGUUAUUUAUCCCACUGAAGUCAAGUGUUUGCCCUGUUCUUUGUUUCCUACGGGCGUUUUUAGUUCUGUAACCUCAAUAAACUGAGUUUUGUUUUACUUGCUGGCGUUCUGUCUAUGACACUAUAUGUAUAUAAUAUGAUCUGCCCUGAGUCCCCUUCAGAGUGAGAAGGGCGGAAUAUAAAUACUGUAAAUAAAUAAACAAAUAAAUAAAUAAAUAAAUAAAUUGCGUAGUGUGAAAAGGGAAAACUUCAUCUGCAAAAUCUGAAAACAUGAAAAUUGUUCUACAUCUAUUUCUGCUUUCAAAGAAAAGUGUUAUUGAUUGAUUGAUCAAUUGAUGGGCUGAUUGAGAUUUUGAGCCUCAUGAAAGGGACAAUCACAAUUCCUGGAGACAUUUUCAGCUAGCAAAAGAGUUACAGCAGGCAUUCUGAGGCCCCUUCUACACUCCCAUAUAAAAUCCAUAUUAUCUGCUUUGAAUUGUAGACUCAUAUAAUCCAGUUCAAAAGCAGAUGUGGAUUAUCUGAUUUCAUAAUCUGGAUUAUAUGGCAGUGUAGAAAGGGCCUGAGAGAAGUCCAGGGCUGAAAAACAACCAUAGGGCUAAAUAUUACAGGUUUCAUUAUUCCCCCAUCCCUAAAACUAGUGGAAAUGUUGGAGGAUUCAGAGAAAUAUCUAGGAUGGCAGAAGGAGACACCCGGGAUGUGAGAAAAAGACAGCCCGGUGAGAACCUCCUAUGCUUGGUGGUCACAGAAUACUGCUUGUUGACAAAAUUUCUAUAUGGGAUGGUAUUGUUGUGGUUUGACAACAGCAGUACCUUCUGCUGCAACAAGUUGUGACAGAUCCUACUUGUGGUCUGUGGGUAAACACUAACCUCUGAAACAACUUUUGGAGUAAGGAAGUGGUAAACCUUAGAUAUACAGUCUGAAGAUGUUCAGAGGAAGGCGACUAAAAGAACAGUGUUGCCCAUUGACACACGAGUUUUGUUAGCAGAACUCUGGGGGACUUGAUGAGAGGUAGCAUUUCUGUUUCACAACAAUUGUGGUCAGACAAUCCCCCAAACACAUUUGCUGAAACCACAUCCCCCCCCCCCUGCAGAAUGUCUGGGAAAUGUAUUUGUCUCCUUGUCAUCUGACUUCUUUGACAGCACAUUCCAAUGGGAAGCAACACAACCCACAAGCCCCAAACACUGCAGAGUGCAAACUGUUUCCUCAGUAGCUAUGCACCCAGGAGAUACAAGGAAAGCCCAACCAAGCAUGGCAACUGGGGUCAAGUGAAAUAUUGCACAUUGUGCAGACAUCUCAUUCUUAACUUUAGUACUGAAGGGACACAAAUUGCCACUGAAAACAUCCACUUCAGAAUGUUUUCUGUGCCCUUUUUAUAUAUGUUGCUCACAUUGUCAAACUAGUGAAAAGGAAGUCCAAAUGUAUAUCUGAGUGGCAUUCUAAAUAGUUCACAGUUUAGAUUUAGAAUUCUGAAAUGGAGGUUACACUGAUUAGUAGAGAGCACGGUGGAGUCCUGAUCCAGUUCUUUCAGCCCCCCUUCUACAAUGCCAUAUAAAAUCCAGAUUAUCUGCUUUGAAUUGAAUUAUAUGGUAGUGCAGACUUAUACAAUCCAGUUGAAAGCAGAUAAUGUGGAUUAUCUGAUUUCAUAAUCUGGAUUAUAUGGCAGUGUAUAAGGGGCCUCAGAUCAUAUUGUGUCACACACAUAGUGAGGUCAGAUUUACACAAACAGCAAAGCAUGUCUCACUACAUUUUUUUCUGCACUG
ensembl:lncRNA